UGGCAGUUAGUUUAAACUAAAAUAAGUGAUUUCGACUCACUAGAUUAUGAAUGAUCAUAACUUCCA
rnacentral:tRNA from 1 species